UGGGGAAUAUUGCACAAUGGAGGGAACUCUGAUGCAGCGACGCCGCGUGAGUGAUGAAGGAAUUCGUUUCGUAAAACUCUGUUCUAUGGGAAGAAAAGGACUGUACCAUAGGAGAAAGCUCCGGCUAAAUACGUGCCAGCAGCCGCGGUAAUACGUAUGGAGCGAGCGUUGUCCGGAAUUAUUGGGCGUAAAGGGUGCGCAGGCGGCUUUACAAGUUGGAUGUGAAAUAUUGUGGCUCAACCACAAACGUGCAUCCAAAACUGCAAAGCUUGAGUUAAGGAGAAGUAAGUGGAAUUCCUGGUGUAGCGGUGGAAUGCGUAGAUAUCAGGAGGAAUACCGGUGGCGAAGGCGACUUACUGGACUUAAACUGACGCUCAGGCACGAAAGCGUGGGGAGCAAACAGG
rnacentral:rRNA from 1 species